rnacentral:rRNA from 1 species
CCUACGGGAGGCAGCAGUGGGGAAUAUUGGACAAUGGGGGGAACCCUGAUCCAGCCAUGCCGCGUGUGUGAAGAAGGCCCUCGGGUUGUAAAGCACUUUCAGUGAGGAAGAACGCCUGGUGGUUAAUACCCAUCAGGAAAGACAUCACUCACAGAAGAAGCACCGGCUAACUCCGUGCCAGCAGCCGCGGUAAUACGGAGGGUGCGAGCGUUAAUCGGAAUUACUGGGCGUAAAGCGCGCGUAGGUGGCUUGAUAAGCCGGUUGUGAAAGCCCCGGGCUCAACCUGGGAACGGCAUCCGGAACUGUCAAGCUAGAGUGCAGGAGAGGAAGGUAGAAUUCCCGGUGUAGCGGUGAAAUGCGUAGAGAUCGGGAGGAAUACCAGUGGCGAAGGCGGCCUUCUGGACUAACACUGACACUGAGGUGCGAAAGCGUGGGUAGCAAACAGGAUUAGAUACCCCAGUAGUC